GGAGGGCUGACCGAGCGGCCGAAGGUGGUGGUCUUGAAAACCACUGUGUCAGCAAUGGCACCGGGGGUUCGAAUCCCUCGCCCUCCGCCA
rnacentral:tRNA from 1 species